rnacentral:rRNA from 1 species
GACGUAGGGUGCGAGCGUUGUCCGGAUUUAUUGGGCGUAAAGAGCGUGUAGGCGGCCAGGUAGGUCUGGUGUGAAAACUCGAGGCUUAACCUCGAGAUGUCAUCGGAAACCAUCUGGCUAGAGUCCGGAAGAGGAGAGUGGAAUUCCUGGUGUAGCGGUGAAAUGCGCAGAUAUCAGGAAGAACACCAAUGGCGAAAGCAGCUCUCUGGGACGGUACUGACGCUGAGACGCGAAAGCGUGGGGAGCGAACAGG